rnacentral:ncRNA from 1 species
GCUCGGAGACGCCGAUGCGAGCCCCGGGAAGAGUUUUCUUUUCUCUGUAAGGAGAUCGAGUCCCUGGAAUGGGUUCGCCCCGAGAUAGGGAUGGUGGCUCCGUAGAGCAGUGCGGUUCUUGCGCUGUCCGGUGCGCUCGCGUCGGCCCUUGAAAAUCCGAGUGAGGGAGUGUGAUUUUCGUGCCGGACCGUACCCACAUCCGCAGCAGGUCUCCAAGGUGAACAGCCUCUAGUCGAUGUACCAAUGUAGGGAAGGGAAGUCGGCAAAACGGAUCCGUAACCUUGGGAUAAGGAUUGGCUCUGAGGACUGAGCCGGUCGGGCUGGGGACCUGAAGCAGGAACGGCACUGCACCGGGACUGGGCGGGGCUCGCCGUUGACGCGGCGCGGCCAAGCCCGGACCAGCGUCGGGACUUUCCUGUGGAAAGCCUCAGCUGCGCGGCGUCUGAGGGCUUCGUGCCCAAAGUGCUAUGCUUCGGCCGGCAAAAAACAGUCAACUCAGAACUGGCACGGACCGGGGGAAUCCGACUGUCUAAUUAAAACAAAGCAUUGCGAUGGCCGCUGGUCGGUGUUGACGCAAUGUGAUUUCUGCCCAGUGCUCUGAAUGUCAACGUGAAGAGAUUCAUCAAAGCGCGAGUAAACGGCGGGAGUAACUAUGACUCUCUUGUAGUGAAGCUCUACAACUUGUUCUUGUACUGGGGUCGUGCCUCCAUGAAGCUGGGGAAUGCUCGAACCAUCUUUAUCCCUAAAGUGGAGGCAGCUUCUCAGCCAGGGGAGUAUAGGCCGAUCUCGAUUGGCUCGGUGCUCCUGCGCACCUUUCACAAGAUCCUAGACAAAAGGUUGAGACAGAUUGUUCACCUACGUGACGAGCAACGGGCGUUUAAAAGCACUGAUGGAUGCUUUGAGAACAUCAUGAUUCUGAGUACGCUACUUAAGACAAGUCAUGCCGCGGGGCGAAGCCUUUACAUGGCUAAUAUAGACCUGUCAAAGGCAUUUGACAGCGCCACACACACCGCAAUACUGAAUGGACUUGCACGCCACCAAAUGGUGGGGAAGUCCAUGAUUGACUACCUGCAUUGGUUCUACACAAAUUCUACUACAACCUUGCAACACAG